UACGAAGGGGGCUAGCGUUGCUCGGAGUCACUGGGCGUAAAGCGCACGUAGGCGGGUCUUUAAGUCAGGGGUGAAAUCCUGGAGCUCAACUCCAGAACUGCCUUUGAUACUGAGGAUCUCGAGUCCGGGAGAGGUGAGUGGAACUCCGAGUGUAGAGGUGAAAUUCGUAGAUAUUCGGAAGAACACCAGUGGCGAAGGCGGCUCACUGGCCCGGUACUGACGCUGAGGUGCGAAAGCGUGGGGAGCAAACAGG
rnacentral:rRNA from 1 species